AUACAGAGGCUGCAAGCGUUAAUCGGAAUUACUGGGCAUAAAGCGCGCGUCGGUGGUUUGGUCAGUCAGAUGUGAAAGCCCUGGGCUCAACCUGGGAACUGCAUUUGAUACUGCUAAGCUCGAGUAUAGUAGAGGGAAGUGGAAUUCCACAUGUAGCGGUGAAAUGCGUAGAUAUGUGGAGGAACAUCAGUGGCGAAGGCGGCUUCCUGGACUAAUACUGACACUGAGGUGCGAAAGCGUGGGGAGCAAACAGGAUUAGAAACCCUAGUAGUCC
rnacentral:rRNA from 1 species